rnacentral:rRNA from 1 species
GAACGCGAAGAACCUUACCUACCCUUGACAUGCCAGGAAGCCCGCAGAGAUGUGGGUGUGCCCGAAAGGGAACCUGGACACAGGUGCUGCAUGGCUGUCGUCAGCUCGUGUCGUGAGAUGUUGGGUUAAGUCCCGCAACGAGCGCAACCCUUGCCAUUAGUUGCUACAUUCAGUUGGGCACUCUAAUGGGACCGCCGGUGACAAACCGGAGGAAGGUGGGGAUGACGUCAAGUCUUCAUGGCCCUUAUGGGUAGGGCUUCACACGUAAUACAAUGGUCGGUACAGAGGGCUGCCAACCCGCAAGGGGGAGCUAAUCCCAGAAAGCCGAUCGUAGUCCGGAUUGUAGUCUGCAACUCGACUGCAUGAAGCCGGAAUCGCUAGUAAUCGCGGAUCAGCAUGUCGCGGUGAAUACGUUCCCGGGUCUUGUACACACC